rnacentral:lncRNA from 1 species
GGUCUCUAAAUUACUGCUAAAUAUCAUUGUACAUGUAAAAAAAAUUUUAACUAUAAAAAAAAUCUGGCUGUUUUAUUCAAAUACAGACUGAUUAUUUCUUUAAUAAAUGGGAAAGGCCCAGGGGAAAGGACAGACAAAACCAUGAAUAGAUUAUGAAAAUCCAAAAACUGGACACAGAAAAAAAAGAUAAACAUUAAGCAAACAAUAAAACUGGAGGCUUACUUGGGUGCUCAAAAUAGGUACCAUCUAUGAUUACUGUUUAAAGGAUCAUCAGAAUAUUGUAAGCAUGUUAUUAUCUUUUACUUUUGGUCAAUAACAGAACAAUUUUAUUACAGCUUUUCUGAUAUAAUGUUUGCAUUGUGAACUUGAGAUGAACAACUUGUGCUGUACUUGGUGUAGAAUCUUUUUACAAUUGUUAUAUUACAACAUGUAAUGUUUCGUAAUUCAAUACAAUUUAACUGUUGAUUUAUCCUAAAUAUGAAAUAAGAAAUAAAUCGUAUAUAGAAUGAUGACCAACCAAAGACAAAAUGACAGAAAUAUGAACAACCACAGAUCAAUGUACAUCCUUCAAUUAUGAGCAAAACUUAUAUAGUAUUUAAGUUCUAAAGGGUGUUGGGAUGACAAUAUGUGAAACAAUUAUCAAGGCCUGAUUUAUACUAAAACAAUGAAUCUAAUAACAAUUAUUACAGGCUACAACCAUGUGUAAUUAAUGUCAGUCAAAAGAGAAUAAUUAUCAAGGCCUGAUUUAUACUGAAACAAUGAAUAACAAUUAUUACAGGCUACAACCAUGUGUAAUUAAUGUCAGUCAAAAAACAUCACAUGCGUAACCCAAACUAACAAAAAAAGAUACAAACAAAAAAUUACUUUACAAACACAGUAAUUAUGAUUUAAGAAAUUUAAUUGGCUGUAAAAACUCCACCCUGAAUAUCAAAAAAAUAUUUUUCCUUUUUUUUAUACAGACACUAAAACAAACAUUGUAAUUCGCCAUUUCAGAAUCUAAUGCAUUUUGGGUAAUAUUGCCAGAAACCUACACCAAAACGUUGUGGUUGGUUUAAAACAAGAUAAACAAUACAAAUUUAACUAAUAAUGUAACGUUAUUUUCAUUUUGGUGUACCAACAAUUAGAUUACCCAUAGUCCUCUAGAUUCUGAAAAGGCUAAUUCAUAUCACAACUAGGGAUUACCCUCUCCCUCCCUUCCCCUACCCCCGGCUUUGAAAAAAACACUCUCAAAU